rnacentral:rRNA from 1 species
AUUGAACGCUGGCGCCAUGCCUUACACAUGCAAGUCGAACGGCAGCACGGGAGUAAUCCUGGUGGCGAGUGGCGAACGGGUGAGUAAAGUAUCGGAACGUGCCCAGUCGUGGGGGAUAACGUAGCGAAGGUUACGCUAAUACCGCAUACGAUCUAUGGAUGAAAGCGGGGGAUCGCAAGACCUCGCGCGAUUGGAGCAGCCGAUAUCCGAUUAGGUAGUUGGUGGGGUAAAGGCUCACCAAGCCGACGAUCUGGAGCUGGUCUGGGAGGACGACCGGCCACAAUGGGACUGACGCACGGCGCAGACUCCUACGGGCGGCAGCAGUGGGGAAUUUUGGACAAUGGGCGAAAGGCUGAUACAGCCAUGCCGCGUGCAGGAUGAAGGCCUUCGGGUUGUAAACUGCUUUUGUACGGAACGAAAAGGUUUGGGCUAAUAAGUUGAGCUCAUGACGGUACCGUAAGAAUAAGCACCGGCUAACUACGUGCCAGCCGCCGCAGUAA